CGAACGCUGGCGGCAGGCCUAAUACAUGCAAGUCGAACGGCUCUUCGGAGCAGUGGCGGACGGGUGAGUAACGCGUGGGAAUGUGCCCUUUGGUACGGAACAACACAGGGAAACUUGUGCUAAUACCGUAUGUGCCCUUCGGGGGAAAGAUUUAUCGCAAUUGGAGAAGCCCGCGUUGGAUUAGGUAGUUGGUGAGGUAAAGGCUCACCAAGCCUACGAUCCAUAGCUGGUCUGAGAGGAUGACCAGCCACACUGGGACUGAGACACGGCCCAGACUCCUACGGGAGGCAGCAGUAGGGAAUCUUGCGCAAUGGGCGAAAGCCUGACGCAGCCAUGCCGCGUGUAUGAUGAAGGUCUUAGGAUUGUAAAAUACUUUCACCGGGGAAGAUAAUGACGGUACCCGGAGAAGAAGCCCCGGCUAACUUCGUGCCAGCAGCCGCAGUAACAC
rnacentral:rRNA from 1 species